rnacentral:rRNA from 1 species
UGGGGGAUAUUGCACAAUGGGCGAAAGCCUGAUGCAGCGACGCCGCGUGGGGGAUGAAGGCCUUCGGGUUGUAAACUUCUUUUGCUCUGAACAAGGCGCACCAUGGGGUGUGUUGAGUGUAGGGGUUGAUUAGCGCCGGCUAACUACGUGCCAGCAGCCGCGGUAAUACGUAGGGCGCGAGCGUUGUCCGGAAUUAUUGGGCGUAAAGGGCUUGUAGGUGGCUGGUUGCGUCUGUCGUGAAAGCUCAUGGCUUAACUGUGGGUUUGCGGUGGGUACGGGCUGGCUUGAGUGCAGUAGGGGAGGCUGGAAUUCCUGGUGUAGCGGUGGAAUGCGCAGAUAUCAGGAGGAAUACCGGUGGCGAAGGCGGGUCUCUGGGCUGUUACUGACACUGAGGAGCGAAAGCAUGGGGAGCAAACAGG